GAACUAAUGCAUCGAGUUGCAGCAGAAACCAACUAAUAUUUCUCUGUCCUGUUCUCAGGGAUAUUAGGAGAGGCUUUAUCAGAUCUGAUGCUUUCCUCCAAAUGGUCCAUGCCUCAUAUUCCCCUAAGCUACCCAAACUAUUUACUGGUCAGGAUGUCUUUUUUCCUGGAGAAUUGAUGUUUGUCCCUAGUGAUCACAAUGAUUAGUUUUAAAUGAUGAUGUUCUUCAUUGAAUACUGGGAUAUAUUUGUUCCAUCUCCUAUGUUCUGGCAUCUUUUCUACUUCUCUGACACAGCAAAGAUUACUGAAAUUAGCUGAUUAUCUAAUUCAGUAUUUAUGAAUAUAGUUUAUCCAGGCUAGGAGAUAUAGGGUAAUAUAAUACAAUUGGUGUUUUUUUAUAAUUUAUUCAUUUAUUUGAUUUUAUUUAUGUUAAUUGGACCAAGAAGACAAAUGGAAUAUAGAAGCUAUGAAGUUCUAAUAUUUUAAUGUCAUCUGGCAUCAUUGUAACUUUGACCACAUAGUGAGCUGUCAUUUCUUUCAUUUAUGUGCUGAAGAAAAAAAGGCUGAAGGUGAGAACCAGACCUUUGUUGAACUUGUCUUCUUUUCAAGUGUCAUCAGGUCAUGGGUCUUUAGUCCUCUAGGAACUAGUGUUUCAUAUCUGAGCUGCCUUAAAGAUGAGUAGCUCUGUAAGGAGUGACUGAAAGAGGGUGAGAGUUGCCUUAGCAUCAGAAAUAUUCUGCUGUACUGUCACAUGUAAGCUUCAUUUCUGUAAAAAAAAAAGUUGUAAUUUAUAAAUCCUACAAAGUUAAAUUAAAAAUCUAAAUUGGAGUACUCUUGUGGCACAAUGGGUUAAGGAUUCAGCAUUGUCAGUGCAGCUUCUUGGGUCACUGUCUGAUCCCUGGCCCAGGAAAUUCCAAAUGCCUCAGACAUGGCCAAAAAAAAUCUAAAUUAGUUAAUUUCUGUUUUAAAAAUGCAGGUUCCCUAGCCUCAUCUCUUUCCAUUGUCAGUUCUUACACUUUACCAAGUAGCCAGAAUCCCCACUUAUAAAGAAUUGCUUUGGCAUUCAAGGCAAGGGGGACAAUGGCUCUAUUGUUCUUCUGGCCUUCCUGAAUAGGG
rnacentral:lncRNA from 1 species